CAUUAAAAUACCCAAACUGAAGUUCCCUGCUGCAACAGUACAGAACUAUCUUAAAAAUGAAAACAAACUAGCAACAAAACCUCUGAAACCACCCCAAGGAGUACAAGAUGGCAGGAAGCCCUGGUUCCGUGCUCAGAAAUUCAGCACAGCCACAUACAGAAGUAGUUCUCCAUGUAUUCAUCAGGAACACAGGAACCCGUGAAAUUUACCCUAAGUUACUGCCAGGGAAUAAACAUUUCUCCAUGUUAUCUGGUGACCAGAAAAGUGGGGUUUUUACCCCAAAAGUGCAGUGAUGUGCCUGAUAACAGAUAAUUUGGCAACCCACACUAGUGGUCUCUAUGCAUGUCUCAUACAUGUAAAUUGAAAUGUAAGUUUUCUCUGCAGCCAGCCUGAUCCAAGGCAUGGGAACAGCAAGUGGCACCUUUCACUCCUGGAGCUGUUCUGCACUGCUGAACCACCUCCUCCCUGCAGGCUGCACAGGCAAAGGCAGGAUUUGCUGCUCACAGAGUGCCCACCAGCCCUGUCAGGGCUGGUUUUACGAGCAGCUGUGCCUAUGGUGGAGUUAUGAGCAGCACCAACGGAGCCUUUCACAAGAACAGGAGCCACGACCCAACAGCACCACCCACUUCAGGCAAGGACCUGCCUCCUGGUAAGAAGAAGGUUUGCAUGGCAUUCUCAGCAUCCCUAGUCCCUUUCAAACCCUCUGGUCUGGGAAAAGCAUUGCUCUCCCAUCCCUAUCCUGCCCCAACAAUCAGAAUUUGUUUUUCCCAGUUGAAGAAGGGAGCAUCCCACCGCAUGAGCCCAAAGAAACAAUUUUUAUAUAUCUGUUUUCCACUGAAACAGCAUCAUCUUCCUGAUGGCGUGGGGUCAGUUAAAGUUCUCAAGCUGUGCUGUGGAGGCUUUCUCCACAAAAGCGGGGGUGUUAACCAUGGUGGCAUGGCACAGCUCCAGCUCCGCUCACACCACUCGGCUCUCCCGCUGCUCCGGCAGCCGGGGCAGCGCACCCCGCACUGUUUAAACAGCUGCCUCGCUUCAUCUGGGAGGUGGCUGCCCUUCAGUCCUGGGAGAAGAGCUCAUCUUCUGGAUAGUUUGCAUAACAAUUAACAUUUGUCAGCUGAGAUCUGCCUGGUGAAAGAUCACUAUUUACAAGUAGGCGGUGAGUCUUUGGAGGCUGCAAUACUUCUUGAACCACAAAAAACUAAGCUGAGAGUGGGGAGCCUGAAGGUGGGCUGAUUUCACACGGCAGGUUUAAGGAAGAGUUCCUUUUGCAUUCAGCUCAGAGGUAGAAAAGCAGAGCUGCCAUGAAAGGGGGGAUUCUUUAGCUCUCACAGAUUUCAUUCAGUUCCAAUGAAAUAAAUACAUCCGCCUUAAACAAUUGAAAGAGGUAUUUACUGCCUGUGGUUUAACAACUGUACUAAGUCAAAGGGACCAGUCAACUAGAGCCUUAUAAUUCUUUUCUAAAGAGAGGAUGAGAGAAAAGAAUGAGACGACAAUGCAGUAUUUAUAAUAAAGAUGAAAUGAGUGGAACUCAAUGGCGCCAGCAACCCUGGAGCUCCUGCUGCUUGGGCUAAUGCAUUUUGCAUUAGCACGUCUGGAUAUCUGGCACUGGAAGGUCCUGCACAUGCUUUUACAAAAUAGCAGCAUUCUUACAGCAGCAGCAUUUCUUCCAAGCACUGCCACUGAUGGGUGCAGCUGGGAUGGACAGCCCCUGCAGCUGGUUGAAUCAGCAGGAAGUUUUCAGGUGACUGAGACUUGUUUGACACUUGCCUUCCUGUGGCCAGGUUGCUUUUUUACCUGCUCACUUCUGCACGUUGCCAAGUGGCUGCACUGUGACUCCCUGAUGGAGCACUCACUUGAGCAGGGGUGGAUGUAAGGGCAGCUGUCCCUGCCUGGGAGCUGGGGGCUCACAAAGGCAGGAUUCCUGACUUCUCAGGUUAUACUGGGGGGCUACUGGGCACAUAGACAUCAUGUUGAACAUACAAAAUUACAUCUGUAAGUAGGUUUACUCUGCAUAGGCUAAAUAAAUAACAUCUGUGUUACAAGAACUCCCAUGUGAUCUCUAUCCCAUACUACUCCAUUACUCCAUCAGCUAAUCUUGCAUUUGCCUUGGAAGCAAUACAAAAUCCUCAAAGGAAUUAAUAGCCAGCAACUGCAGAUCACCCAAGCAAUUUAUUUUUCAUUCUUUCCCCUACCAGACUGGAGAGAUACGUGUCUCUCUUCUUCCUGAAACCUGGAUUUGAAAAGAUCUGUGUUACCUCAUCUUCUCCUAGCCUUGCAGAACAACAGCAUUAGCAGUAAUGAGCAAAGCACAGCAGCACCUUGGGACAAACUCUGGGACAAAUGGAAAGACCACCUGGGUGUAAUGUUGUAAGAAGCAAGAUAGCAAAUGGUACUUUCUUUUCAUAACUAUUACAUUAGAAAUGACAAAUUCAUCACUUCAGGGUUUUCUCUAGGUUUUUGACAUAUACAAAUAAUUUCUUGUUCUAAGUGAUACCAGAAUGUAUUCAAUAAUACUUAAAAUAUG